rnacentral:rRNA from 1 species
GUCCAUGCCGUAAACGUUGGGCACUAGGUGUGGGUUCCAACCAACGGGAUCCGUGCCGCAGCUAACGCAUUAAGUGCCCCGCCUGGGGGAGUACGGCCGCAAGGCUAAAAACUCAAAGGAAUUGACGGGGGCCCGCACAAGCGGCGGAGCAUGUUGCUUAAUUCGAGGCAACGCGAAGAACCUUACCUGGGUUUGACAUGUAGGAAAAGCCGUAGAGAUACGGUGUCCUUCGGGGCCCUACACAGGUGGUGCAUGGCUGUCGU